rnacentral:rRNA from 1 species
UACGUAGGGGCCAAGCGUUGUCCGGAUUUAUUGGGCGUAAAGAGCUCGUAGGCGGUUCGGCAAGUCAGCUGUGAAAUCUCCACGCUCAACGUGGAGGGGUCAGCUGAUACUGCUGUGACUUGGAGUCCGGUAGGGGAGGUGUGGAAUUCCCGGUGUAGCGGUGAAAAUGCGCAGAUAUCGGGAGGAACACCGGUGGCGAAGGCGGGGUCUCUGGGCCGAUACUGACGCUGAGGAGCGAAAGCGUGGGGAGCGAACAGG